rfam:Populus trichocarpa scaffold_5_contig_246, whole genome shotgun sequence.
UCUAGAACUCAAGAUAUGGACUUAACACCGAACAAUAUUUUGGCCGCAGGACAAAUUCAGACUUCUUUUUUGUUGUUAAGAUUUGAACUUAAGAACAACAAUAUUGAAUCUUGGACUCUUAUGAAUGUUUUAGGCCUAUGUCUUAGCUUUCUAUC